rnacentral:rRNA from 1 species
UACAGAGGGUGCGAACGUUGCUCGGAAUUACUGGGCGUAAAGCGCAUGUAGGCGGAUCCAUAAGUCGGCGUGAAAUCCCCAGGCUCAACCUGGGAACUGCGCUCGAAACUGUGGGUCUUGAGUGUCGGAGAGGAUGGCGGAAUUCCUGGUGUAGAGGUGAAAUUCGUAGAUAUCAGGAGGAACACCGGUGGCGAAGGCGGCCAUCUGGACGACAACUGACGCUGAGAUGCGAAAGCGUGGGGAGCAAACAGG